rnacentral:lncRNA from 1 species
GAGCAUGCUGGGAAAUGUAGUUCCAGUGGGCCGCGUGAGCAGGCGCACUUCCUGGCUUCAGGUGUUGAGGAUACCCUGACUGUGUUCUGAAUUUUUCAGUGGAGCCGAGUUCCUGAAGACGACUGAGGACAUGAUUCUGAGAUCCAUCAUCAACACCCAAGCCCCUAUCUUUCACCAAGAAUGGGACAUCAGCUUUUCAAAUCAGAUGUUAUCUUCCAAAGGGAACAGACGUUGUCUUCUGCUUGAUCCUGAGCACCAACUCCAAGAAGAAAGUGUCUGAAAAACAAAUAGUGUUAUGGCAUGAUGUUAGAAAAAUUUUCAAAUCCUUGUUCCUAAAACUUCACAUUAGAAGAAUUGGAAUUUGAAAAACACCAGUAAAACUAAAUUACAAGAAAAUUCAAUUCAAGAGGAAGAUUAUGAAUAUAAUAAUUUGGGGAAAAUAUUUAAUCUGAG